AACCUGAGAAGUCUGUGCUCAAAGUCUGAAUAAAGUCAGAAUUGUAUUGAAGUGUUUAAGAUAAAUAAGGAGCAGAAAAAAGGCAAAAUUGUGUUUGGAAAACAUCAAGAGGGAAGACCACAUUUGGGGGACUACAGGAACCAAAAUACGGAGUUUGAAUGUUUUUCCUAAGCACAAUGGAACCUGUGGAAGAUUUUUAGCAGUAUUCGCAAAAAAGCUCUUACAAUAUUCCAUUCUGUGAGAAGUUUCGACCAAAAAGUGAGUGUAACUCUGAUAACACUUAUUUAUAGAGCAGUUGGCUUUGAUGAACAAUGAACUGUUACUUGAUUUUACUCUUGGUUCAAGGACAUCCACAAGUGCUGUCAAA
rnacentral:lncRNA from 1 species